rnacentral:rRNA from 1 species
AUUGAACGCUGGCGGCAUGCUUUACACAUGCAAGUCGAACGGCAGCGCGGGCUUCGGCCUGGUGGCGAGUGGCCAACGGGUGAGUAAUACAUCGGAACGUGCCCAGUAGUGGGGGAUAGCUCGGCGAAAGCCGGAUUAAUACCGCAUACGACCUGAGGGUGAAAGCGGGGGAUCUUCGGACCUCGCGCUUCUGGAGCUGCCGUUGGCAGAUUAGCUAGUUGGUGGGGUAAAGGCCUACCAAGGCGACGAUCUGUAGCUGGUCUGAGAGGACGACCGGCCACACUGGAACUGAGACACGGCCCAGACUCCUACGGGAGGCAGCAGUGGGGAAUUUUGGACAAUGGGCGAAAGCCUGAUCCAGCAAUGCCGCGUGUGUGAUGAAGGCCUUCGGGUUGUAAAGCACUUUUGGCGGGGACGAAAAGGACUGUGCCAAUACCACGGUUCGAUGACGGUACCCACAGAAUAAGCACCGGCUAACUACGUG